GAUGAACGCUGGCGGCGUGCCUAACACAUGCAAGUCGAGCGAUUUACUUCGGUAAAGAGCGGCGGACGGGUGAGUAACGCGUGGGUAACCUGCCCUGUACACACGGAUAACAUACCGAAAGGUAUGCUAAUACGAGAUAAUAUGCUUUUAUCGCAUGGUAGAAGUAUCAAAGCUUUUGCGGUACAGGAUGGACCCGCGUCUGAUUAGCUAGUUGGUAAGGUAACGGCUUACCAAGGCGACGAUCAGUAGCCGACCUGAGAGGGUGAUCGGCCACAUUGGAACUGAGACACGGUCCAAACUCCUACGGGAGGCAGCAGUGGGGAAUAUUGCACAAUGGGCGAAAGCCUGAUGCAGCAACGCCGCGUGAGCGAUGAAGGCCUUCGGGUCGUAAAGCUCUGUCCUCAAGGAAGAUAAUGACGGU
rnacentral:rRNA from 1 species